CAGUCUGUUAUGGAAGACAAAUAGGAAGGCAAUUUUCAAUUAAAGUCCAGCAUUUUCUUUCAGGCAAAACAUGUCAGGCCAAGCAGCACACCUGCUCCUGCUGCAGCCCAGAGGCACUGCGAUGAGGCAGCAGUGACUGACUUCACCUCAGCUAAAGCAGGAAGCAAGGUGAGAUUAGAAACCAAAACGUCACCACUUGGAAUCAGGCAUGAAUCCUCUGAGCACUGGCAAGCAAUACUGUAGAUGACCCUCAGGUACCUGAAGCAUCAGCAACAUCUGCUACAUCAGCAAACAAGUGGUUUCAGCUGCAGCUUUCCCAAACUUUGGCUUUGUGUUAGCUAGAUUGACAUCUGAUCUUUGCCUACGUCAAAAACGGUGAACCUCUAGAACCUGACCCAAUGAAAGUGACCUCACAUUAAAAAGAAAUUGAUUUUAAAUAAAGUGGACACCUAUAUCCAUCCUUCCA